rnacentral:lncRNA from 1 species
CUACGAAGCUUUUAUUUCAGCGUUAACAUAUUUUAAUACAGUAUAUUAUAUUAUAUUAUCAUCAAUAUAACGUGUUCCCGGUGAGAUUAUUUAUUGCAUAACUAGAUCUAUAUUUUCACGUGACCUAAAAAUUUUACAUGUUAAGAAAAACGGUAGAAAGUUUACAGAAUUAUUGAGAAAAUCUAUCGAUUAUAUUUGCGUUAAACUCGACUGUGAGUUGUAUUGCUCUCUAGUUUGAUGGAUGAAUAUUUAAGCCAUCUCCUAACCAUGCCCUCACCAUAUUAAUUUAUAAUUGAGACAGAGACGAAUGGGAAUUGCCGAAAAUCGAUAUCAAAUUUUUAUAGUAGUAAGCCGAGUUUGUAUACACGCAAUAGAUCUACGGGAAAAUAUCGAACAGAAAAUAUUAAUAAUAAUAAUAAUUUACACAAUACCAAGUUUGCACUAUCGUAACUCAGGGCAUUGUCAACUAUCGAUCCGUCCUGGAUAUAGAAUAAUUUGGUCGCUAAUAGACAGAUUCUGUGAAAGAAUUGAUGGCAUUAGUUUCCUUUUUCGUAACCCGUAAUUAUGGUAUGGAGAGUAAAUUAUAUGGCAUCACGAUAAUUGCUUGAUGUAUUGAAAUCUUUCUAAAGCAGAGCAUUGCACUAAAUGCUUCAAUGUUAAACGCGAGAUAUAAUUACAUUAAAUCCUUGUAGUGUGAUGUUUAAGUCAACUUCCAAUUUUGAUUUACCAAAAAUAAUUUAUUCGGAAUUUUUUGGCGUAGAAAAGGAAAAAAAAAAAAAUGGAGAAAUGAUUGUCUGACAAACUGGAAAUUGGUUAAAAAAAAUCGAGUAGUAACGAAUUUUUCAAGCACACUUGAACAAAAUUUCCAUGUCCCUCACAAUUAUAAUGCAAUGACAUCAUGAUUGUGAUGACUUGCAUUGCGUCAUCACCAGAUGAUGUCAUUAUUAACUGGUUUUGGUCUUAGUUGGAACUAGGGAGACUGACUAUGACUUUUUGUGGAAUCUUUUUUGUUUUCUAAUUGUCUGGUUAUCUGAAUCACAUUUUUUAACCUGAUUAACACUAUUAUACAUUUAUGUGAUUAAAAGUGGAAAACAGAAAUUAUGUUAAUUAUUUAACCAUGAUCUUAUUUAGAAAAAUAUGCUAAUUUUAAUAACUUAAAUACCAUAUUGUAAAUCAAACGAUAUGAAUCAUCACCGAAAAUUGUAUAGGCCUAAGUCUAAUUACAAAAACCAUCAAAUAUUUAAGUAAAAUAUUUAUAUCUAGAGAUACGAAAAGUAUGACUGAU